CACAUUCCCCAUCAGUGGCUGAUUUCUUCCUAAACCAAAGACUACUACGUGGCCAGGGAGUUUCUUCUUGUUUUGUUCGAAAUUUCUCCUUUAAUUUCAAUCAAUGAUUGAAAUAGCUUUUAUGUUUUAGAAAUUAGUUUUAGGAAUCAAUUUUAGGAAUUGGGGUGGUCAGCCAAACGGGCCUUAAGGACCCUUUGGCUGAGUUAUAAAACAAGAUAUCAGCUGCCGUUUCCUCAUUUGUUUCUGUCUAGGACGGUGGAACAGCAGAGGAGAAGAAGAAGAAGAGAAGAAAAGGAAGAAAGAAGAAGAAAAGAGAGCUGGUUUGGGGCUGCCUGCAUAAGAUGGUGGAACCGGUGCUGAGGCAAGAUUGGAUUUCAACAGUGAUUGUGAGGUUUGUGUCUAUGAGACAUCAGGAUGCUGAUGGACUUCACUUCUUUUAUUUCAAUUAUUCCUUUUGAUGUAAAUGUUUAAGAAAUGUGUAGUAAGUAAUAUGCUAAUCUGUGAUUGUUUCUAGACAUAGAAAUUGUAGAAUGUAAUUUAUCAUUUUAGUACAUCAUCAGUGAUAUUUGUAUGACUUUA